AGCCUUUUAUUUUAAUUUGGCUUUUUGUGUCUUAUCGGUCAGUGGUUUGUUGGAAUUCCCCUGCCGCCCCGAAAAUAAGUUCCAAGGGCCAGAUUUUAUUAUCUAAACGUUCCUGAUGCGAAGUCUGUGCCUACCAUGUUUUGAGAACAAGUUAAAAAAGGGGGGUUAUUUUGUGCGAGUCUGCAUCAAACCAAGGCUCCUAGGGGGAAAGCCGUACACUUCUCAUAACCAAAGCCACCUCUGCUACUCUUGCAGCCAGCACCCCCGUAAAGCAGCAGACGCUGGGAGCAUUUAAUCACACGAGUAGCGAAAGUCUGCUCACCUGAGCAAGAAACGCCAACGAACCUCCUCGGGUGAGCCAAGUGAACGAUUGCAGAGAUGGGCCCCUGAAGCGUUCAGAACAUGAAUUCUCACCCCCCCCGUCCAGAACCCUCCCAACAGCUGCUAGCAAGCUCUGUUCUAUUAAUCCUCUAUCCAAUUAGCGUUUUUCGGUCAAAAGCUACCUCGUUAGAAUUGUUUUAACGUGGGUUGCGACUUCUAUUUUAGGUAGGAAGAGGGACAGGUAGCGCCCCCCUUCCCCCCAGUAAAUAAGACUCAGUCUCGCACUUUGUCCUGUUUUAAUAGGCUAAUUUUAGCUAGUUUGCUAACAGGUGUGAAGGACCAGGGGUCUAGAGAGAGGCGGUUGGCUGGUGCAGCUUAGAAACAGUUAGUGCUUUCCUAGUUUGGCAAGACGCUGAAAAAACCAGGGACGUUUCCAACUGCUACCCAGCUUGGAAAUGUCUGGUACCUACUGCUGGCAAAACUAGCUGAGGAACAGACGAGUAAAGAAAUAUGCCCCAGCUGCAAUGCACAAUGAGUUUUUAGGGCCAAAGAUGAAUAAGAUCAGGCAGAGUGAUGAGUGAUUUUGAAUGUCUGUCCCUGGAAGAAUGACUUACCCUCCACCUUCUCUGCUCCUUUAACUCCGUGAUGAUGAGCAAUGAAAGAUCCACGCUAGCUUUGUGUAUCUAACACUUUAUCUAACGAGUGAUGACAGUCCGGGUGUUUCAGGAUCUCGGAAUAAAUUGCUGGAGCCUUCCAAAAACAUACCGAGAUUCUUCUAACACUUCAGACAUGAUAGGGCGGGGUGGUUGUUUGUUUGUUUGAAAACAAUUAAAUCUUAAUGUGUGUAACAAUCCCUUGCGCUGUUUUAACCUGCGAUUCAAAAGCAUAAUGAAGAAUAACUUUCCCUGGACUGAAUAAUUCGACAAAGAUCAGAUCAUGUACACGGUGUAGCGGCAGGAUACGUUAGGUACUUAACUAGAUUUGUCAUUUCAAAGAGCUAGUCUGUGUGUUUUCGGAAUGAGGUUUGGCUUGAUAGGCAAGCAACGGAGCAGCAGCGAAAUGGAGUUGUGUGUCUGUAAUACAAAAUGUCAACAAAACCACAUCAUGUGAAAGCAGGGAUUUGUUCCAUUUUCCAUGCCUCUUAAUUGUUACAAAAAUGUCCUGGAAACUCUUUUAAAGAGGCCCCUACCUUCUAGGAAUACCGAGCCUUUCUAUCUAUAACUUAAGUAUCACUGAAUCAAAUGUAUUUUGAAGCCUAAAUAAAAUUCCCACAGGGAAGUUCAUUAAUA